CUCUGUGGAAGGGCACGCAGUGGCCGUGGGUCCUUCAGAAAGGGCUCCUGAAUGAAUGAUGAGCAGCCAGGUGUGUGCAGUGGUGAGGCAGGCCCCCAGUGAAGGAAGAGGAGGAGUUACUUCUCAACAUGUUUAAUCUGCAUUGCUGUGUGCAGAAGGCAGCAGUGACCUAAAUAAAUCCUUCAUUAGAAGCAGAAACACACUGGCUCAGGCACUGCGCAGCAGAGCUCUGUGACAGGAGGGCGGACAGACAGGGCUUCUCCUAUUACUCAGUGCGACUGAGUGGAAGAGGGACCCCAUAACAGACAGGAGACAGGAGCUGGGCUGCCUUGGGCCCACUCUGGGGUGCAUGGCUUCAGCCCCUGCUCCAGGGGUGACUGAGCCUCUGAGAGGUGCCAUCUUAGCUAAAGAAGCUCCCCUGGAUGGGGUGGAUGGUCAUCGAUCACACUGCAGAUGGCAUAGCCAAAAUGUGGCCCUCUGCAAGCCAGGAACGGGGUUUCAUGAGGAACCACUUCCGCUGACACCUUGAUCUUGAGCUUCCAGCUUCCAAAGCUGUGGGAAAUAAAUGUCUAUUGUUUAAACCAUCCAUUGCAUGACAUUUGAUGAUAGCAGCCCUAGCUGACUAGUACGUGGUCCUCAGAAUAAAUAGGAAAGCAAAACAGUUUGGCUGGGACUUCCUCCAUUGUGUGUCUUUCCGGGGCGGCACUCAAAUGCUUCCAGGUUUAGGCAGGUGACAUCUAUGUAUGAAGCCAGCUGGCUGGUGGGAGAUGGUGGCAAGCAGCUGUGUGUGUGGUUUGGCUAAAGAAGCAGGUGCUGCCAACUCUGGCAGAUUUUGUCAGAGACCAGGGACCGGAGUGGUCUGAUCUUCACAUUUUUCAAAACUCAACUAUGGAUACUUAUGUGAAAAGUGCUGAUUUUUAGGAAUCUCAUAAAUGGAUAUAACUUGCCAAGCAAAGUGAAGAAAAGGAAAAAAAUAAAAAUAAAAAAGACUGAAUGGCAAGUCUGCAGAGAGCAAUGCCUAAGGUCUAUGCAUUGCCCGUAGGUGAUCACUCAAACUCUUACAAGGCAUCUACGAUGUUUCUAAAAUUGUACUGAGUUCCUGGGGACACCGAAAUAAUCCCGUCCCUGUCUUCAAGGAGCACCUUAUAAUGUGGAAGAUGCACGUGGAAGGAAUGAAUGACUAGACUUCAGAGUAGACAUAGAUCCAUCCGUGGAAACUCAAGAGCCCAGAGGAGAGAGAUGGGAGCUGGCAGAGGGUCAGGGAGGGCCUGGAAGGACCUCACAGCAAAGGCCAUGUUUGAACACAAUCUCGGAGAAGACUUGGCCGUGCUCAGAAGAAAGUCUCAUGGGAGCAUUCAUUCAGGGCAGUAGGAGACAAAGCUAAAUGGGGUACAAGGAAAACCUCAGCCUAUGCUAAGAUUUGCCAUGGCAGGUGCUGGUGUGGAUGAGGCUACAGGACCCACAGCUUGAGAAGCUUCAGUCCUCUGCCUAGAAAUUUAGAAAGAGGGUAGAGGAGGCCGAGAGUGGUGUCUCAUGCUUGUAAUCCCAGCACUUUUGGGAGGCUGAGGCGGGUGGAUCAUGAGGUCAGGAGUUCAAGGUCAGCCUGACCAACAUGGUGAAACCCCGUCUCUACUAAAAAUACAAAAAUUAGCCAGGCGUGGUGGUGCACACCUGUAAUCCCAGCUACUCCAGGGGCUGAGGCAGGAGAAUUGCUUGAACCAGGGAGGCAAAGGUUGCAGUGAGCCAAGAUCACGUCAUUGCACUCCAGCCUGGGCGACAGAGUGAGACUCCAUCUCCAGAAAAAACAAAAACAAACAAAAAAAACCAAUAAACAAUAAAAAAUGAAAAAUAAAAAAAAGGAGAGGAAAAAGAGCCCUGGCAUUAGGAUGAAGCAUACAGUCCUGAACUUAAAUCUCAGCAAUGUCGCUUCACUAUGUACAGGCUCUGACUUGAGAAAAGUUAAUGGCAUAACUUGGAAACUUUUGUUCAGUUUUGGCCCAGGAGCUUUUUAUUAUCUUUCUUUUUAGAUACGUGUGGUCUUGGUUUAUCAUGAUCAUUUAAAAACAAACAUUUAAGAGAGUGCUUCGUAUUGUCAGGCACCAUGAAAAACACCAGGGGUAGAGCAAUGACAAAGCGGUAUCUAUGCCUGAAAGAGCUCAAAGGGAAAACUGGCAUAGAAAUAAGACAAGUAGUAUUCCCUAGUGGGUUUUGAUUUUAUAUUGACCACAUUUUUCCUUUUCUGAAAACACUGUUGCAGUUCAUAUGAUAGCACUGAAUAAAGCAAUAGUACACGGUUAUUUCCUCUGGCCCACCUACCUAUACACACCACUGUGAUUUCCAUUUGUCCCUUGCUUGAAAUUUUUUUAAAGUGUCAUUCAAGUUGAAUAUUUCAUUAUACUGAUGCUCAGGUUCUACAAAUAAAUUAGUAUCUCAUUUGCUUCUGACUCAAGCUUUACUUUAAACAGGAGAUGCUUGUUUUUUUCAUCUUGCUAAUCUUGAAAUAUUUAAACGCCAUGUAAUCUAUCCAGAGAAACAACAUCUAGAUCGUGCACUCCACACAGCCCUCUCUGUAAUUUCUUGUUAUCUCUUACUAUAAUUACACUAUCUUCAGAUUAAAUGCAAUGGUGCAUGUCAAGUUAAA